rnacentral:hammerhead_ribozyme from 1 species
AUCCAGCUGACGAGUCCCAAAUGGGAAGAAAAGCGCGUCCUGGAU